CACCGACUGUGUCUAUGAAGUCUCUACUUAUAAACUGACGCACUACUCGGGACAUGAGAUUUCCUGGCCAGUUCUUUAAGUGAACAAAGAAAUAGCUAAAUAAAGAUGAUUCUAAGGAAUACUCCACGAACAAAAGCGGAGCUCAUCAAUAGCACUGAAAGUGAGGAAAGUUCUAACCCGUAGCUUGCUCUCCUGCAAAACCGGUUCCUACGUUGUACCGCAGACCAACGUAGGUUCCCAACAGAGAACGUUAGUACCAUCCAUUGUACUCAAUGAGUCUCAACGACAGGGGACGAAACUUUAAUAACAUAUACAUUAUGAGCAAAGAUUCUAAAUGCAUGUAAAACAUAAAGCUUAUAAGAACAAUUCUAAAAUAAUUGCAUAAUAGCAGUUUAUGAAUAUUCUAAAAGAGAUUCUUUUCUUUUUCUUUAAAAAAAAAAUACUUCACUUUAUACUUUGGGAGUUUCAACUAUCCUCACUUAAUUCUGUCUCAGUCACCGUGUGAUCGGCACGGGUUCGAUCCCAACCUGAUCGAAUAGGCCCAAUCCAUGAGGUGCCACUCGCUUCAUAGUUCUCAGCGCUCAUGUGCCAUACCUUAGCUUGGCUAGGCAAAUUCUCAACAACGAGACCCUCGACUCGUGUGCUCCCUACUUUGACACAAGUAGUUUCAGAAAGUCAACGCCUUAGUCAGGACCCUCGGCCUGGACGAUGACCCCUUCUCAAAAUAGAGGAUACUCCCAAAAAAAUCUUUUCUUUCUAAAACUUCUUCUUGUGACUUUUCAAGUCUAAAUCUUUUCUGAAACAUCCUAUACAUACUCAUACUGGUGUCCUUAAUUGUAAAGCAUGGCAUAAGAAUGAAAUAAAUAUUCAAAAGUAUAUGUAAAGAUUCUUGCUCCAUCAUGAAUUUUCAACAUGAAAAUGGCAUAUAAGAAUAACAUAAAAAUCUAAAAAUUUAUGCACAUGUAUCAUAAUAAAUCAUCUAAACUUUAGCUAGAACAAUUCUAAGUUAAUAAGUACCCACUCGCUCCAAUUAAGUACAUAUAAACUCUUUUAAGCAAUUCAUCAAAUACCUUGUAUGCAUGCUUUUGUGAGUUAAACCACUUUAGUAAAGAGUUAUAUCAACUCACCUCAAAACUUCUCGAGGCAAUACGUAGGCCCCAGUCCAAUUUAUACCCGUCAAAUAAUUGAUUCUACAACAACCAGUACAUUUUAAUUAAUUUCAAAGUUUCACACCUAAAUAUGAAAUUUAAUUUUGAUACAGAGAAAGAAUGGAAUUAACUAUUCAAUUCUUACCUACCACUACUUUAGGAUAAUUGACAAUAGGAAAUUUUAUAUACCUGAGUUCAAGAAUUAGUGAUUUGUAAAGAACCCUAGAAUUUUCGUUGCCUGCGUGUGUAAGUUCCGUAGCCUUUGUGCUUGCUGCGUGAACAGAACAAUGUUCUGUUUCUUUAUUUCGAAUUAGGCUUUUUAGCCUUCCGCCUGUGAAUGAACAGAGGUUUGUUCGAUUAAGGCUUUAAGCCUUUUGUGUCUUUU
rnacentral:lncRNA from 1 species